rnacentral:lncRNA from 1 species
AAACAGAUAAAAGAAUGCAAGGAAGCAUCCUCUUAGAAAGAUGAAGUCAACAAAAUGAAGCAAUUCACUAGAUUACAAGGAAACACCAUGCAAAUCGUCUGCAGUAACAGAAAGCACACGCAUANAAUAAAAGGAUCACAAAGCCCUAUGGUGAUUUUCUAGAGACCAACAACAUGCUCUAUUGCAACAUCCUAAAUGUAAACUAUCACGACAGAGGCUAGCCUUCUCGUAUGCACACCAAUUCCUAGCCAAUACCUGGUUCACUUCAUUGCGAAAUGUAACUUUGUAAGGUAAAAGGUAAAACCCUAUAUCAUUUGCUUAGACGGUAGACAACCUACCUGUGCCUCUUCACCACCAGCAGCUCGGACAGAAUCCACCUUUUGUU